GCAGUCGAGCGACAGAUAAGGAGCUUGCUCCUUUGACGUUAGCGGCGGACGGGUGAGUAACACGUGGAUAACCUACCUAUAAGACUGGGAUAACUUCGGGAAACCGGAGCUAAUACCGGAUAAGAUUUUGAACCGCAUGGUUCAAUAGUGAAAGACGGCCUUGCUGUCACUUAUAGAUGGAUCCGCGCCGUAUUAGCUAGUUGGUAAGGUAACGGCUUACCAAGGCAACGAUACGUAGCCGACCUGAGAGGGUGAUCGGCCACACUGGAACUGAGACACGGUCCAGACUCCUACGGGAGGCAGCAGUAGGGAAUCUUCCGCAAUGGGCGAAAGCCUGACGGAGCAACGCCGCGUGAGUGAUGAAGGUCUUCGGAUCGUAAAACUCUGUUAUCAGGGAAGAACAAACGUGUAAGUAACUGUGCACGUCUUGACGGUACCUGAUCAGAAAGCCACGGCUAACUACGUGCCAGCAGCCGCGGUAAUACGUAGGUGGCAAGCGUUAUCCGGAAUUAUUGGGCGUAAAGCGCGCGUAGGCGGUUUUUUAAGUCUGAUGUGAAAGCCCACGGCUCAACCGUGGAGGGUCAUUGGAAACUGGAAAACUUGAGUGCAGAAGAGGAAAGUGGAAUUCCAUGUGUAGCGGUGAAAUGCGCAGAGAUAUGGAGGAACACCAGUGGCGAAGGCGACUUUCUGGUCUGUAACUGACGCUGAUGUGCGAAAGCGUGGGGAUCAAACAGGAUUAGAUACCCUGGUAGUCCACGCCGUAAACGAUGAGUGCUAAGUGUU
rnacentral:rRNA from 1 species